UUUCAACCAGUUUUCAGGCAACAUUUUCUUGCCAAGAAAGACCUCAUUAAAGCACUUGUGGAAAAUACAGAUAUGGACACAAGCCUCAUUCUGGAAUAUUGCAGCACAUUUCAGUUGAACUGUGACGCAGCCUCUCAGCUGUUCAUUGAAACACUGCUCCACAACACCAAUGCCAGCCAAAGCCAGAGCAUUGCAAGCCCGAAGUCUACAAAGCAGCAGCGGUCCAAGCUCCUGGCAAAGCCCUCGAGAUGGUUCCUUUACUGACAAGCACAAAAGAUUUGGUCAUCAGUCUCAGUGGAAUACUACAUAAGUUGGAUCCCUAUGACUACGAAAUGAUCGAAGUUGUCCUGAAAGUUAUAGAAAGAGCCGAUGAAAAGAUAACCAAUAUUAAUAUUA